rnacentral:rRNA from 1 species
UGGUGGAGUGAUUUGUCUGGUUAAUUCCGUUAACGAACGAGACCCCGCCUGCUAAAUAGUGCUGGGAAUGCUUCGCAUUGCCAGAUCGCUUCUUAGAGGGACUUCGUGUGACUAACACGAGGAAGUUGGGGGCAAUAACA